rnacentral:rRNA from 1 species
UACGGAGGGUGCAAGCGUUAUCCGGAAUCAUUGGGUUUAAAGGGUCCGCAGGCGGAUUUAUAAGUCAGUGGUGAAAUCCUAUCGCUUAACGAUAGAACUGCCAUUGAUACUGUAGGUCUUGAAUUCGGUCGAAGUGGGCGGAAUGUGUAGUGUAGCGGUGAAAUGCAUAGAUAUUACACAGAACACCGAUAGCGAAGGCAGCUCACUAGGCCUGGAUUGACGCUCAGGGACGAAAGCGUGGGGAUCAAACAGGAUUAGAUACCCUGGUAGUCCACGCUGUAAACGAUGAUUACUCGUUUUCGGCGAUAUACAGUCGGAGACUAAGCGAAAGUGAUAAGUAAUCCACCUGGGGAGUACGAUCGCAAGGUUGAAACUCAAAGGAAUUGACGGGGGCCCGCACAAGCGGUGGAGCAUGUGGUUUAAUUCGAUGAUACGCGAGGAACCUUACCAGGGCUUGAAAGUUAGUGAAGGAAGUGGAAACAUUUCCGUCAGCAAUGACACGAAACUAGGUGCUGCAUGGCUGUCGUCAGCUCGUGCCGUGAGGUGUUGGGUUAAGUCCCGCAACGAGCGCAACCCCCAUCUUUAGUUGCUAGCAGGUAAUGCUGAGGACUCUAAAGAAACUGCCUACGCAAGUAGAGAGGAAGGCGGGGACGACGUCAAGUCAUCACGGCCCUUACGUCCUGGGCCACACACGUGCUACAAUGGUAGGUACAGAGGGCAGCUACCGGGUGACCGGAUGCGAAUCUCUAAAGCCUAUCUCAGUUCGGAUUGGAGUCUGCAACUCGACUCUAUGAAGCUGGAAUCGCUAGUAAUCGCGCAUCAGCCAUGGCGCGGUGAAUACGUUCCCGGGCCU